AGUGUGUGGUACUUAAAACAUGGGCUAACACAAAAGGAAGUGUUGCACAGCUCUCAUGUACUUGGCCCUGUAACAUGGCUGGGAGAAUGGGGACUGGUAUACCAGUAUCUUUCCUCACAUAAAGUGGCGGUGUAAACUGAUGAAAUGCCAGCCUCCCCUUCCACUUUGUCACUGAUUCAAACAUGGAGAGGAACAAAAACAUGCUGAAAGGAGUGUUAUUUACUUACGGACCUUGCAGUGCCGCCUGAACCUGCUACCCUGGGAAGUGGUUUGAGGAACUUCAGAGGGGAAAUGCCUGGCUGUCUGAGGUAGGACGGCCCCUGAACUGUGCUCCUCAAGCAGCCCUCUCGUGAGGUUGAUCCUGAAUUGCUGGGAAUCACUGGAGUGCCCUAUCACUAGUAAGGGGCCAGUAAGGACAUGACGACGGACCCAGAGAUCCCAAGUCCCUCGUAGUUGUGAAUGUCAGUGGUGGAUCCAGUGUAACCAGUGGUGUUUUCUCCAGCUGUUCUGCGGAAUAGUGGUUUGUUUCCUGAUCUCCUCAGCAUUAGACCUCUGUGGGAGAUGCAGGUGGGGUCUGACUUUGAGGUCCAGGAGGGGUAAAAUAGCUGAUUGUUUACAUUGGACACUGACGUCUGCAUUGCAGAGCAUGUCAACAUAAUAUUUGUUUCAUGUGAAUAAAACAUUACGUUUUUCUCAGUUAUUUUUGCUGCUGUCAUAUGAUUUGCGCUGUAAACUUGUAUUCUAAUACCUCUGUGUUUAUUUGAAUGCCCGUUACAUACAUUUAUUUUAUCAUGUGUUUGAAAAGACUAAGCAGCUUUGUCUAUUUUAGACAUAAAUGACAAGCACUUAGCCAGUCUCUCUCUCUCUCCAUAGCAGCAGCAGCACGACAGCAGGUUUGGUGAGUUUCUCAGUUUUUCUGCGAGUACACAAUGUAUGUAUAUGGACAGUAAACUUGUAUUCUGUGUUUGUUUGAAUGUUCAUAACAUAAAAUAAACAUAUUCUAUGGUUUAAAAAGACCGUUCUAGCAGCUGUUUUAGAUAUCUAAAUCACAAGUGCUUAGCCAGUCUCUUUCUAUGUAGCUGCUAAACAGUACAACAGCUUUUAUGGUGAGUUUCAGUUAGUUUUGUACAGUUAUACACUGUGUGGAUUAAGCAGUAAACGUGUAGUCUGGAUUGCCUGUGUAUGACCACUGCCUGGAAUAUAUAUACGUCACCUGACUUUAAUUUUGGAUUAUUCCUUUUAUUAUUUUGCUUAAACUUCUGCAAAUGGAUUCUAAUCUACCUCCAGUCUCCACUACGUUACACCUACAAACAGGUGAAAGUCCUGUAAAUAUAUCAGGAAUUUUUACGAUAAGACACCAUUAUUUCAUUUUUUUAUUAUUACUAAUGUUAAAUUUAUAUAGCACCUUACCAGAGUUAGCACAGCUUAAAGAGGAAAAAAAGACAGCAUGUUUCAGUUUCUUUUUACAUGAGGAAUAUUCCUAAUAGAUAAAUACUCUAUGAAGUAUUUAAAUCUUUAUUCCGAAAAAAGUUAAAAUGCCCCAUAAAGUCUUAACCAGAUAUGGACAUAAAUGUGGUCAACUUUAAAAAUCGGAUAGAUUGGCUCCGACGUGAAAUAAUCACUUCAGGUCAGGAAUUUAACGUCGCACUCCGGUUUAGGCUAUAAAUGAAUACAUGGGAAUCUCGUGUGAUACAUUAACAGACAUUUCAAGAAGUGGAAAGUGUAUAUGAUGUUGUAUCUUAAUGUUACACUUGAUAAGCUCCAGACGCGCACAAUUAACGGACCGUAAAUGGAGUCGAGGCCAUGCCCAUCCAAUUUGAAAUCACAACGAGCGCGUUUACAUUUUAGAAAUAUUGGCUGCACAGAUUCAUGAAUUCUGUGUAAUUUUGUAUGUUUAUUUAAAAUGUCGCUUUAUCUUUGCCUCUUGGAUAAUCAGUCAUACGAGAAAUAUAAUUAUUCCGAUGAAUCCAUUAUUUUGGAAUCCAUUUUGGAGUCAUUAUUCAAGCCUUUCCGAAUAAGAUAUUCGGCUUCGGGCACAUCCCUAGUUGUCACGGUACCAAAUUUCAGUAGUCUGUACCGAUACCAGUGAAAUUUCACGGUUCUCGAUACCAAUUUCAGUAACCCAGCAUAAAUAUACUAAUAUGACAAUGUGCUAUUGAACACAGCUGUUUAGCCUAUUUAAAAAGUUACAUUGCAAUGUAAAUAAUAAAUUAAAAGAAAUGCAUUUUUUCUUCAAGUGUUUCUCAAUCAAGGAUGCAUUGCUUAAGUGUUUAA